rnacentral:rRNA from 1 species
AACGAACGCUGGCGGCGUGCUUAACACAUGCAAGUCGAGCGCGAAAGGGGCUUCGGCCCCGAGUAGAGCGGCAGACGGGUGAGUAACACGUGGGUAACCUACCCCUGGGUGGGGGAUAACCACUCGAAAGGGUGGCUAAUACCGCAUAAGACCACGACUCUGCGGAGUUGGGGUCAAAGGCGCAAGGCGCCCAGGGAGGGGCCCGCGGCCGAUAUCAGAUUAGGUAGUUGGUGGGGUAAAGGCUCACCAAGCCGACGAUCUGUAGCUGGUCUGAGAGGACGACCAGCCACACUGGGACUGAGACACGGCCCAGACUCCUACGGGAGGCAGCAGUGGGGAAUUUUGGACAAUGGACGCAAGUCUGAUCCAGCCAUUCCGCGUGCAGGACGAAGGCCUUCGGGUUGUAAACUGCUUUUGUACAGAACGAAAAGGUCUCUAUUAAUACUGGGGGCUCAUGACGGUACUGUAAGAAUAAGCACCGGCUAACUACGUGCCAGCAGCCGCGGUAAAAC